rnacentral:rRNA from 1 species
UGCCGGAUGCUCCAGUUGACCGCAUGGUCCUCUGGGAAAGCUUUUGCGGUAUGGGAUGGGGUCGCGUCCUAUCAGCUUGAUGGCGGGGUAACGGCCCACCAUGGCUUCGACGGGUAGCCGGCCUGAGAGGGCGACCGGCCACAUUGGGACUGAGAUACGGCCCAGACUCCUACGGGAGGCAGCAGUGGGGAAUAUUGCACAAUGGGCGCAAGCCUGAUGCAGCGACGCCGCGUGCGGGAUGACGGCCUUCGGGUUGUAAACCGCUUUUGACUGGGAGCAAGCCCUUCGGGGUGAGUGUACCUUUCGAAUAAGCACCGGCUAACUACGUGCCAGCAGCCGCGGUAAUACGUAGGGUGCAAGCGUUAUCCGGAAUUAUUGGGCGUAAAGGGCUCGUAGGCGGUUCGUCGCGUCCGGUGUGAAAGUCCAUCGCUUAACGGUGGAUCCGCGCCGGGUACGGGCGGGCUUGAGUGCGGUAGGGGAGACUGGAAUUCCCGGUGUAACGGUGGAAUGUGUAGAUAUCGGA